CAAAAGUCAUUAAAUUUUGUAUAUUUUUCUGAAUCAUAGAAGAGGCAGUUACAUCCAAUUUGUCUAUAUAAACUCAUAUCUUGUUUUGACAAAUGCACACAUCAAAAGAAAACAGAAAAUCAUCUGAAAUGAAAUAUGAUUUCUCAUAUUCUGAAAAAAAAUUUACUCAAGUUUUUACAUAUAUUCUAGAGUACACUUGAAAGUUCUAAAAAAUCAUUUAUGAUUGCUGCACAAGUGGUUUAUGAUUGUUGUAUUUUGAGAGUGACUGUCCACGGAGGUUACAACAGUUAUUGAUGAACAAUUUCACUUUAGCACAUCGUACUAAAGUGGAUUGUCUUACAACUUGCCUUGCAAGUUGUCACCAACUCGUGCUUAGCUUGCACUCUUCAUAAUAUCUUUGCCAACUCACGCUUAGCUUGCAAGUGGCACACAAGUGGACAAGUUGUGCAAGUUGCCCACUUGCAUCCUCAAAAUAUCCGGCUGCAGGUUCAUGUAUUUUACCUCCCAAAAUGGCUGGGUCGGGACUUAGAAAAACCUCAUUAAGGCCUUGGAAAACUGCACGAUUUAGGCAGCCUGCAUUUUGCCCCAAAACAAUCUACUUGCGUCCCCAGCCCAAUCUACCUGCGACCUUUGCCGAAUCUGCUUGCGUCCUCUGUCGCAAGCUAUUCCGUCCUGCUGAAGCGUGCUGUCCACACUGCAUUGCGGCCUCUACCGGGACGGAUCGAACGCGACCGCAUGGGAUAAGUUACUCCCCGAUUGAAGGUCCCUACUGUCCCGUCCCUAGAGUAUCGUGAGAGAAAUAAAUUACAAGAUGUGCCCAAGCAAAUUAGGGAACAAGAGCUUAUCCGUACAUUGAUGCCCACAAAUAGUCCAAUUGAAUAUCUUGCUAUGAAAUUCUAGGAGCAGAUGCCAAUUUGUUUAUGUUUCAUUAUCUCGAAUCCCCCCUUUAACCAGAUAUAUCUCCAUAUAGGUGGAUUAAUCCGGUCAACUUGGAAAAUAAUUAAUUAACUAUAUAAUUUUAAAUUCAAGUAUCAUUUGUAUCAAAUAUCAAACAAUUAGAUUUUAAUUUAAUUUAAUGUACGUUUGUAUGUUUUGCAUCAAGACGUGGAAAAUCAGUUUCCUUCGUUAUGACACCAAUUCACAUGAGGGAAAGAUAUGCAAUCAAGUCUGUUUAGCCAACCUGUCCAUCAAGUCCCACUGGGGACGACAAAUGUACCGAGUCGUUCGUAGGUUCGGCUCAUCCCAACUCGAUUCGUGGACUAUUCAAAACUCUUUUUGACACGAGCAAUGGGUUAAACCAAGCACCCCACUCGGCUCAUGGGCCACUGCCGCAUAUUUUUCCAACGGUAACAUUUGAAAUAUGACCUUUGGUUCCCAAAUGGUCAUAGUUAUGAUGGUAAAAAAGCAGUCAAAUUUUUGUAAAUAUCUGAAAUUGUUAUCAUCUUCAUAUUUUUUUUUCUUUUAUUGUGCAAUCUGAUGUUUUAUUACUAUAAAUUUGCUUAUUUGAGUGAUUUAUGCUCAAUUCAAGAUAAAUUCUCUUAUUCCACCUUCUUUUUUAUGUAGCAUUCUAAAUGGAUUACACAUAUUGUUGAAAACUUGUGAGUUUAACCAAUUCAAUGGUACUUCCAACGCUCCAAAAACUAGUUCGUCAUGAGUUCAGUGAUCGAAAUGAUAUUUCAAUUCCUAAUGAUUUGGGUAGUGACAACAAAAGUACAAAUCCAAAUGAUUUGGAUGAUGUUUUACUUUUGACAAUGCAUUGAUCAACAAAAUAGUCACUGAAAAACUAAUUGUUCAACUCAACCACAUUUUUUAUUGCAUAUUAUUUCAUGUCCAAUAUUGUGUUUGUUAUAUUUUCAAUUUAAUUGUCAACGAUGGGGUAAAAAUCAUGAAAAUCGAUAAAGUGCAAGAAUAUUUAUCAUAAAA
rnacentral:lncRNA from 1 species